ACGCGAACGGGAAGGCGCAGAUGAAACUGGAGAGCAACGGGCCCGGCCCCGCCGGCGCUUGUAGGGUAGCGGCCUGAAAAAAGG
rnacentral:SRP_RNA from 14 species